CACGUAGGGGGCAAGCGUUGUCCGGAUUUAUUGGGCGUAAAGAGCUCGUAGGUGGCUGAGUAAGUCGGAUGUUAAAUCCCCAGGCUCAACCUGGGACACCACCCGAUACUGCUCUGGCUAGAGUCCGGUAGGGGAGCGUGGAAUUCCUGGUGUAGCGGUGAAAUGCGCAGAUAUCAGGAGGAACACCAAUUGCGAAGGCAGCUCGCUGGGACGUUACUGACGCUGAGACGCGAAAGCGUGGGGAGCAAACAGG
rnacentral:rRNA from 1 species